rnacentral:rRNA from 2 species
UGAUUUUGGAUCCGACUGAGUGGCGAACUGGUGAGUAACACGUGGGUAACCUGCCCAGAAGAAGGGGAUAACACCUGGAAACAGAUGCUAAUACCGUAUAACAACAAGAACCACAUGGUUCUUGUUUGAAAGCUGGCCUUUGUGCUAGUGCUUCUGGAUGGACCCGCGGCGUAUUAGCUAGUUGGUGAGAUAAUAGCUCACCAAGGCAAUGAUACGUAGCAGACCUGAGAGGGUAAUCUGCCACAAUGGGACUGAGACACGGCCCAUACUCCUACGGGAGGCAGCAGUAGGGAAUCUUCCACAAUGGACGAAAGUCUGAUGGAGCAACGCCGCGUGAGUGAAGAAGGGUUUCGGCUCGUAAAACUCUGUUGUUAGAGAAGAACAGCCGUGAGAGCAACUGCUCACGGUAUGACGGUAUCUAACCAGAAAGUCACGGCUAACUACGUGCCAGCAGCCGCGGUAAUACGUAGGUGGCAAACGUUGUCCGGAUUUAUUGGGCGUAAAGGGAGCGCAGGCGGUUUAUUAAGUCUGAUGUGAAAGCCUUCGGCUUAACCGGAGAAGUGCAUCGGAAACUGAUAAACUUGAGUGCAGAAAAGGAUAGUGGAACUUCAUGUGUAGCGGUGAAAUGCGUAGAUAUAUGAAGGAACACCAGUGGCGAAGGCGGCUAUCUGGUCUGUAACUGACGCUGAGGCUCGAAAGCAUGGGUAGCAAACAGGAUUAGAUACCCUGGUAGUCCAUGCCGUAAACGAUGAAUGCUAGGUGUUGGAAGGUUUCCGCCUUUCAGUGCCGCAGCUAACGCAUUAAGCAUUCCGCCUGGGGAGUACGACCGCAAGGUUGAAACUCAAAGGAAUUGACGGGGACCCGCACAAGCGGUGGAGCAUGUGGUUUAAUUCGAUGCUACGCGAAGAACUUACCAGGACUUGACAUCUUCUGCCAUC